AAACCAUGAUUAGGACACCGCUUCAAUAGACUCUUGAACCUUUCCCAAGCUCCUCAGAUACUCUCUUGAGAAGUCAUUUAAAAUGCUAGAAUCGAUGACUGCCUCU